CCAGUCACCAUGGGAUUAGACAAGACUCCGCUACGACCUCUUCUUGCAGAAGUAGCAGGCUGGGCAUAUACGGGUUGUGCGUAGGCAGGCUGGGCUGGGUAAUAAUUUGGUUGAUUGGGAUAAUAAUAUGGUUGUUGAGGAUAACCGCCCUGAGGGGGAUAAGGCUGUGGAGCGGCCCCGUAUGCUCUGUUUUGGGAAGCUGCGGGAGCAGGAGCAGGAGCAGCAGAAGAAGCAGAAGCGGCAGGAGUGGCAGGAGCGGCUGAGUUGGAAUAAGAAGGAGGCGGUCCACUUGGGGGAGCAGAGUGGUCCACCGAAGGAGGUGGUGGAAUAGUUAAACCACGGACCGGACAUUCCCAUUGCGGCUUUGCUUUGGGAUCACUUUCAUUAACAUAAAAGUAACACUUGUAGCGUUCAUCCCACUGAGCGACCCAGCCAUUAGGGAGACCUUCACGAGUUUGAUAAGCCAUAAUGGAAUUUAAGAAAUAUGUUGAGUAUAAAUUGAGAGAAAAGUUUGGAAUGAAGGGAAUAUCUUAAAAAAUAAUUUUUUUGGUAAAAAAGACAGUUAACAAAAAAUAAAUGAAUUCUAAUACUUCUAUCUGCUCUGUACGCAAGAAGUAAUGGUAACAACAAAUGGAAAGAGAAAGAAUACUUCUAGAUAGUUGGCCUUUUGCAAAUGAAAAAGCAAUUGAUCAAAUAAAUGAAAUUCCGCGUAUGAUGGUGAGAUAAUUAUAGUGGUUAAGAUCGAUAAGAAGGUUGGAGAAGUUUGAUGCUAGCAGCAGUCAUGGAGCUAUUCGUGGUG